rnacentral:rRNA from 1 species
UACACGGAGAACGCUUUUCUUUUUUUUUGUACGUAAAAGGAAAAAGUUCUCCGGAGAGCGUUUUCGUUUAGACACGGAGAGUUCCAUCUUUUUCUUUUUGUGUAAAAGGAAGAAAAAAGCUCUCCGUGUCGACGGAGAGCGGCUUCGUUUAGCUACGGAGAUGCCUUUCAUUUAUACGCGGAGAGUGUUUAAAGAAAACGUAAAAAAGAACAAGUUUUGGAUUUCUUUUGGUCUCUUUAGGUUUUUCGGCUUUUUUAGCUUUGUUUUUCAGCAGAUUUUCGGCUUUUACUGAGAACGUCCCGAGAGGUUCCUAAUGAGGAAUUAAGCCAGCGUCGACACCAGAUCUAUCCGGCUGGAGCAGGAAAGGGGUGGAUCAGGUCGGGUAGGAGAGAGCGCUCGGCUUAUAGGGAGGGGACGGCGGCCGCAGGCGGACAGGGGACGAGCCGCGUACGAGGGAGCGUCGCCGCCUCCGGAGCCGGGAGGCCAAGCGCAAGCGGCCGCUCCUCCAGCGGCCGCGACGUGCCCCACCGCGUCGCUUGCCGCCCUGCUCGGCCUCGGUUCGCGGCGUGCGUCAGACCGAGCGGCGUCUCGUCUAAGCAAGCCACUACCGACGCGGACAACGACAGAGUCGCAGCUGCUCCUAGGGGACUCUGCCGGUGGUCAUCGGAGGAGUGUUCCAUUUCCUUUUCUUCUUCGACGUAAGAAACAUGGAAGAGCGGUUAGCGUAGAACUUAAUCAUAACACAGUCGUCUACAUGGCUUGUGAUGGACAGGUGGAAAGUAAAGACAUAGUUUCUUACGGUACAGAACAGAGUUUUGGCUGAACUCUAUGUUUCUAGCUUUCGCUCGACGGACGGAGAGGGGUCAGUGCCAGGUCGUACUAUAGAGACUAAGUAUGUCUUCGUUUUCCCAUGGAACAGCUGAGCCCCUUCCUACCACAGGGCCCACCGUGGAGGUUUCCGUAGAUGGUAGGCGGGCUUCUACUAGCUGUACUGGUGGACACUGUACGGCGAGCGUUCGCGCCGCUGGCACGGUUGGUCGUAGUCGUGGUGUAGUCGCCGCAGGCGCAACAACUUGUCCACAGGUGUAGUCUCCUACUGAUCCUGUGAACCACGUAGUCGAGCCAGCAUGCGUAGCCAAACCGACGCAGUCGAGUCUACUCGAAUCAUCCGGAGCAGAACGGACCGUCACCGUCCUCCAUAGCGUCCCACAAGUCGCGGGUCUAAACAUCGAUCAGCGAGCGCGGUGCUACCGCUAGACCGUCGACGACCUCACUCGGUUUACCUUCUAGGGCCUCCUGGACUCGCAACCUACGAACCUCGUAGUCGAGACAAGCCUACACACACUCUGGAAGACGUUUACCGUACCGGACCGGGGCAAGAGAAAAACAAGAAUAGGAAGAAUACGUCUAAUCCCGUACCGCACAUCCUGGAUUCAUCCCCCAUGACACAUAAAGAUACAAAAAAUCUGCUCACAUAAACAUAAACAAAGACUGGCUUCUAUAUAUGAUAAGGAAGUAACUAAUACAAACAUACGCACCCUUCUUUUAGAGUGUAGGUUUAAUGUCAUCGC